UACGUAGGGGGCAAGCGUUGUCCGGAUUUAUUGGGCGUAAAGAGCGUGUAGGCGGCCAGGCAGGUCCGUUGUGAAAACUCGAGGCUCAACCUCGAGACGGCGAUGGAAACCGUCUGGCUAGAGUCCGGAAGAGGAGAGUGGAAUUCCUGGUGUAGCGGUGAAAUGCGCAGAUAUCAGGAAGAACACCUAUGGCGAAGGCAGCUCUCUGGGACGGUACUGACGCUGAGACGCGAAAGCGUGGGGAGCGAACAGG
rnacentral:rRNA from 1 species